AGUGAACGCUGGCGGUAGGCCUAACACAUGCAAGUCGAACGGCAGCACAGGAGAGCUUGCUCUCUGGGUGGCGAGUGGCGGACGGGUGAGGAAUACAUCGGAAUCUACUCUGUCGUGGGGGAUAACGUAGGGAAACUUACGCUAAUACCGCAUACGACCUACGGGUGAAAGCAGGGGACCUUCGGGCCUUGCGCGAUUGAAUGAGCCGAUGUCGGAUUAGCUAGUUGGCGGGGUAAAGGCCCACCAAGGCGACGAUCCGUAGCUGGUCUGAGAGGAUGAUCAGCCACACUGGAGCUGUGACACGGUCCAGACUCCUACGGGAGGCAGCAGUGGGGAAUAUUGGACAAUGGGCGCAAGCCUGAUCCAGCCAUACCGCGUGGGUGAAGAAGGCCUUCGGGUUGUAAAGCCCUUUUGUUGGGAAAGAAAUCCAGCUGGCUAAUACCCGGGUGGGAUGACGGUACCCAAAGAAUAAGCACCGGCUAACUUCGUGCCAGCCGCCGCAGUAA
rnacentral:rRNA from 1 species